rnacentral:rRNA from 1 species
GGGGAAUAUUGCGCAAUGGCCGAAAGGCUGACGCAGCGACGCCGCGUGGGGGAUGAAGCAUUUCGGUGUGUAAACCCCUGUUGCCCGGGACGAACAAGCAGAUUUUUCUGCUCUGACGGUACCGGGUGAGGAAGCACCGGCUAACUCCGUGCCAGCAGCCGCGGUAAUACGGAGGGUGCGAGCGUUGUCCGGAAUCACUGGGCGUAAAGGGCGCGUAGGCGGUCUGCUAAGUGUGCGGUGAAAGCCCGGGGCUCAACCCCGGGUCUGCCGUGCGAACUGGUGGACUAGAGCACUGUAGAGGCAGGUGGAAUUCCGGGUGUAGCGGUGGAAUGCGUAGAGAUCCGGAAGAACACCCGUGGCGAAGGCGGCCUGCUGGGCAGUAGCUGACGCUGAGGCGCGACAGCGUGGGGAGCAAACA